UACGUAGGUGGCAAGCGUUGUCCGGAUUUAUUGGGUUUAAAGGGUGCGUAGGCGGUCUUAUAAGUCAGUGCUGAAAUAUCCCGGCUUAACCGGGAGGGUGGCAUUGAUACUGUAGGACUUGAGUAAAGUUGAGGUUGGCGGAAUUGACGGUGUAGCGGUGAAAUGCUUAGAUAUCGUCAAGAACACCUAUAGCGAAGGCAGCUAACUAAACUUUAACUGACGCUGAGGCACGAAAGUGUGGGGAGCAAACAGG
rnacentral:rRNA from 1 species